rnacentral:tRNA from 1 species
GCCUUCGUGGUGUAGUGGUCAGCACACUCGACGCGUAUUCGGAAGGUCCGUGGUUCGAGUCCCGGCGAGGGCA